GGUUUCGUGGUCUAGUAGGUUAUGGCACCUGCUUAACACGCAGGACGUCCCCGGUUCGAUCCCGGGCGAAAUCA
rnacentral:tRNA from 2 species